rnacentral:RNase_P_RNA from 1 species
CGAGUUGACCAGACAAUCGCUGGCUAGUUUGCGUAAGUAUUUCUAGCGGGAGGAAAGUCCGGGCUCCAAUGAGCAGGGUGCCAGGUAAUGCCUGGGCGGCGUGAGCCGACGACAAGUGCAGCAGAGAGAAGACCGCCGAUGGCUUCCUUUCGAGGAUUCACAGGUAAGGCUGAAAGGGUGCGGUAAGAGCGCACCGGAUUGCUGGUAACAGUAAUUGCAGGGUAAACUCCACCUGGAGCAAGACCAAAUAGGGUUUCAUGAUUAUUUAGGCGUAAGCUUUAAUAAUAUAAGCGUGGCUCGCGUGGAAACCGGGUAGGUUGCUUGAGCCUUAGAGCGAUUUAAGGCCUAGACGAAUGAUUGUCACUUCUUAGGAAGAUACAAAACCCGGCUUAUGUGGUCAACUCACUUA